rnacentral:tRNA from 1 species
UCCGGAAUGGUGUAAUGGUCAACAUUUGUCGCUCUCAUAGCAGAGCGCCGACAGGCUCGGGGUUCAAUUCCCCGUUCCGGAA